GACGAACGCUGGCGGCGUGCUUAACACAUGCAAGUCGAACGGUGAAGCGCCUUCCUUUUUGGUGGGUGUGGAUGAGUGGCGAACGGGUGAGUAACACGUGAGUAACCUGCCCCCUUCUUCUGGAUAACCGCAUGAAAGUGUGGCUAAUACGGGAUAUUCUGGGUCUGUCGCAUGAUGGGUCUGGGAAAGAUAUUGUUUCGGUGGGGGAUGGGCUCGCGGCCUAUCAGCUUGUUGGUGGGGUGAUGGCCUACCAAGGCGGUGACGGGUAGCCGGCCUGAGAGGGUGGACGGGACAACGGGGAGGGGGACACGGGCCAGACUCCGAAGGGAGGCAGCGGGGGGGAAAAUUGCAGAAUGGGGGAAAGCCUGAUGAAGGGAGGCCGGGGGAGGGAGGGAGGCCUUCGGGUUGUGAACCUCUUUAGCGAGGAAAGCAGGCCUGCCUCGUUUGGGGGGGGGUUGACGGUAGGUGGAAAAGAAGCGCCGGCAAACUAGGU
rnacentral:rRNA from 1 species